GAUGAACGCUAGCGACAGGCUUAACACAUGCAAGUCGAGGGGCAGCAUAGAAGUAGCAAUACUUUGGUGGCGACCGGCGCACGGGUGAGUAACGCGUAUGCAACCUACCUAUCAGAGGGGAAUAACCCGGCGAAAGUCGGACUAAUACCGCAUAAAACAGGGGCACCGCAUGGUGAUAUUUGUUAAAGAAAUUCGCUGAUAGAUGGGCAUGCGUUCCAUUAGGUAGUUGGUGAGGUAACGGCUCACCAAGCCGACGAUGGAUAGGGGAACUGAGAGGUUGGUCCCCCACACUGGAACUGAGACACGGACCAGACUCCUACGGGAGGCAGCAGUGAGGAAUAUUGGUCAAUGGGCGAGAGCCUGAACCAGCCAAGUCGCGUGAAGGAAGAAGGAUCUAUGGUUCGUAAACUUCUUUUGCAGGGGAAUAAAGUGCAGGACGUGUCCUGUUUUGUAUGUACCCUGAGAAUAAGGAUCGGCUAACUCCGUGCCAGCCGCCGCGGUAAGAC
rnacentral:rRNA from 1 species